rnacentral:rRNA from 1 species
UACGUAGGGUGCAAGCGUUGUCCGGAAUUAUUGGGCGUAAAGAGCUCGUAGGCGGUAUUGUCGCGUCUGCUGUGAAAACUCGGGGCUUAACUCCGGGCCUGCAGUGGGUACGGGCAGACUAGAGUGCGGUAGGGGAGACUGGAAUUCCUGGUGUAGCGGUGAAAUGCGCAGAUAUCAGGAGGAACACCGGUGGCGAAGGCGGCCUGCUGGGCAGUGGCUGACACUGAGGCGCGACAGCGUGGGGAGCAAACAGG